rnacentral:snoRNA from 1 species
CAUCCGUGAUGAGGACAGGCGGCGAUGUACUCCUGCAGAUGUUCCCACGCCUUGGGGAUGGACUCAUCCCUCGUCUGCUAGAAGCUUGAAAUUCUCCCACGAAG